GAUGAACGCUGGCGGCGUGCCUAAUACAUGCAAGUCGAGCGAACAGACGAGGAUCUUGCUCCUCUGACGUUAGCGGCGGACGGGUGAGUAACACGUGGAUAACCUACCUAUAAGACUGGGAUAACUUCGGGAAACCGGAGCUAAUACCGGAUAAUAUAUUGAACCUCAUGGUUCAAUAGUGAAAGACGGUUUUGCUGUCACUUAUAGAUGUAUCCGCGCCGCAUUAGCUAGUUGGUAAGGUAACGGCUUACCAAGGCGACGAUGCGUAGCCGACCUGAGAGGGUGAUCGGCCACACUGGAACUGAGACACGGUCCAGACUCCUACGGGAGGCAGCAGUAGGGAAUCUUCCGCAAUGGGCGAAAGCCUGACGGAGCAACGCCGCGUGAGUGAUGAAGGUCUUCGGAUCGUAAAACUCUGUUAUUAGGGAAGAACAAAUGUGUAAGUAACUAUGCACGUCUUGACGGUACCUAAUCAGAAAGCCACGGCUAACUACGUG
rnacentral:rRNA from 1 species